GUUGGCCUACGGGGCGCAGCAGUGGGGGAUAUUGCACAAUGGGCGCAAGCCUGAUGCAGCGACGCCGCGUGAGCGAAGAAGUAUUUCGGUAUGUAAAGCUCUAUCAGCAGGGAAGAAAAUGACGGUACCUGACUAAGAAGCUCCGGCUAAAUACGUGCCAGCGGCCGCGGUAAUACGUAUGGAGCAAGCGUUAUCCGGAUUUACUGGGUGUAAAGGGAGCGUAGACGGCAGCGCAAGUCUGGAGUGAAAUGCCGGGGCUCAACCCCGGAACUGCUUUGGAAACUGUGCAGCUAGAGUGCGGGAGG
rnacentral:rRNA from 1 species